rnacentral:rRNA from 1 species
GGCGAACGGGUGAGUAACACGUGGGUGACCUGCCUUCAGCUCUGGGAUAAGCCUGGGAAACUGGGUCUAAUACCGGAUAUGACCUCAUGAUGCAUGUUGUGGGGUGGAAAGCCUUGUGCGGCUGGGGAUGGGCCCGCGGCCUAUCAGCUUGUUGGUGGGGUGAUGGCCUACCAAGGCGACGACGGGUAGCCGGCCUGAGAGGGCGACCGGCCACACUGGGACUGAGACACGGCCCAGACUCCUACGGGAGGCAGCAGUGGGGAAUCUUGCGCAAUGGGCGAAAGCCUGACGCAGCGACGCCGCGUGAGGGAUGACGGCCUUCGGGUUGUAAACCUCUUUCAGCCCUGACGAAGCGGAAGUGACGGUAGGGGCAGAAGAAGCACCGGCCAACUACGUGCCAGCAGCCGCGGUAAUACGUAGGGUGCAAGCGUUGUCCGGAAUUAUUGGGCGUAAAGAGCUCGUAGGCGGUCUGUCGCGUCGGCUGUGAAAACUCGGGGCUCAACUCCGAGCUUGCAGUCGAUACGGGCAGGCUGGAGUUCGGCAGGGGAGACUGGAAUUCCUGGUGUAGCGGUGAAAUGCGCAGAUAUCAGGAGGAACACCGGUGGCGAAGGCGGGU